rnacentral:rRNA from 1 species
UGAGGAAUAUUGCGCAAUGGGGGAAACCCUGACGCAGCGACGCCGCGUGGGUGAUGAAGGCCUUCGGGUUGUAAAGCCCUGUUGGAGGGGAAGAAAGGGCGUGUAGCUAAUAUCUGCACGCAUUGACGGUACCCUCAGAGGAAGCACCGGCUAACUCCGUGCCAGCAGCCGCGGUAAUACGGAGGGUGCGAGUGUUAUUCGGAUUUACUGGGCGUAAAGAGCACGUAGGCGGAUAGGCAAGUCAGAUGUGAAAGCCCGGAGCUUAACUCCGGAACUGCAUUUGAUACUGCUUGUCUUGAGUGUGGUAGAGGGGGGUGGAAUUCCCGGUGUAGAGGUGAAAUUCGUAGAUAUCGGGAGGAACACCAGAGGCGUAGGCGGUUCUCUAGGCUAGUCCUGACACUGAGACACGAAAGCUAGGGGAGCAAACG